rnacentral:lncRNA from 1 species
CUUGUUAUCUGUUGUGUCAUCAGCUCCAUUUAAUCCUGUCUUUUCAAAAAGCUGUUGGAUGAAGAGCCCAGAAAUGCUGCAUGUGUAACACAUGCUGGUUGCUCCGUACACCCAACCCCCUGCCACGUGUCACCUGUAAGCUUGAGCGUGCUGACUGUCUUAAUCCAUGCACAAGACAGAAAUGAAAAGAACUUUUUCCUACCCAUAACCUUUCCUUUUCCAGAUCUUCUCUCCUGAGUGUGACAGCAUGCUGUUCAUGAAAGCAGCCGUGCCCGAUGCCCACCCAGCAGUGCUGCUCGAUGCAAUUCCACUCUGCACCUCCCAUUGGGAAGCCUUGGACAAGCUCCACUUUUCAACAUUACAGAAAUGCAAAAUGCUACAACUAUCCCAGGUAAAAUGUGUCUUCUCCCGAAGCACCCAAAGAAGUCAGCAAGAGGCAGGCUCCUGCACGUGCUACCUGUGUGGAGGAACAGACUGCAAGACGUGAGGAUCACUCCGGCACUGCAUUAAGCAACAUAACUAACAUCUGCUUGUUGUUCUCUUAGCAACUCUCCUGGGGAAAAGCGAGAGUAUGGAGGGUUUGAUCGUGGAUAAUGAUCAUCUAGGAUUAUUUAUCACAUGAGCUGGAAAGCUUCUUCCAUUUAUUCCUGCAUCAAAUUUGGAACUGCUGGCUGAACUGAAAGGUAUCAUUUGGAAUUAAAAUAGGGCCCAUCACAGAGAGACAGCUGGUGGUGGGGAAUACAGAAAGUUUGUAGGCAAACUACUGCAACAACUCUCUCUUUAAAGCCAGUUCUUUGUUCCUAACAUUGCUGGGUUUUCCUACCUGGGUUCUGGUGUCUUCCAUUACACCUGGCAGCAGUAACGCUUGAACACUUGCAAGACUAAGCUGCAUAAAAUAAGACUCACAAUAUGAAACAGGGGCACUCAGUCCUGGGAAGGUAACUGAACAGCUUCUGUCCAAGGAUUUGAAGAAAAUUCACUCCCCUUUUUGUCAGUGCUUUACAUCUUUUGCCUUCCCCCCUGCUCCUCUUGCAGCCUGUGCUCCUCUGAGCGGUCAUUUAGGAAGCUGAGGAGCUUCCACAUCUGGUGGGAGAGGAUUGAUGCUUCUGUGCACUGCGGGGACGGGGAGCUCGGCAGUUACACCAGCCCCCAAAGCUGCAGUGGAGGGGAUGCUCCUACAUCUUUAUUUAACUUGAGCUGCCUAUAAAUUAAUCAACUUUCCGAAGGUCUUCCUCCAUGUUCUCUUUGUCCUUAGCAGGCAAUCAAUCUAUGGCUGCCUCGCCUUCAGCCUGAGAUGUCUAAUUUUCAGACAGCUAGGUUUCAACAGAUGAACAUUACACAACACAUGUACUUACUUCUAAGAGUGAAACUGUGCUUUAAUUACAGGAAACAUCAUAUUUCAGUGAUAAAAUUGUCUCUCAGAGUGGGAAGCACACCGAGGUGCAUUUGGAGCCAAGGGAUGCAGGAGAAAUGGUGUCAGCAGACCCAGAAAAGAAGAAUAAGGCAGUGAUGAGCCAAUCAAUAAGCCAGUAAUUAGGGCUGCUUGGCAGGUUGGGGGGUGUUUUGUUUUUGGCAUUUUGCUUGUGUUUUUUUUUUCCCCCUUGGUUUUGAAAGAAGUUUGCUUAUCUAAGUUUUAUAACGACUUAAAUGAAUCCCAGCUCUGUUCAAAUCAAUGAAAGCCUUUGUGAGACAGCUGUAAUUUUAUGUGCAUGUGUUUCGGUAAAUUAAAGGGUUUAGCCUUAAGGAUUCACUUUAGUGUAAUCUACUAAAAAGAUAAGUAGAGCCAGAUGUAGUGCCUUAUAAACUGCUGGACAGUUGGAACUGGAGCGACAGCACUGAAAGCAGCUUUACAGUUUUCCUCAUAGGAAGCAGAUUUCCUGACUCAAAAAAAGCAAUAUUUUACAUAAAUAGUUGUAAAUAUUUUGUAUUUACAAUGCAAAGAAAGAAGGAUGCAAACGGGCAAAAAAAAAUUAGCCUAGGCAAUUGGUAAUGGAUUUCUCUUGUUCUGUUUGUGCACAUCCAUGGAGAAAGGCAAUCUGUAGUUUAAACCAUUUAACUAAAUUAAAUUCUAGUUAGCAUCUGGGAGCCCGUCAAUAAGAGUCUAUAUUUCUGAAGAGCCACAGACUGGUGGCAGUAAUAGACACAUAAAGAUUUUAAUAGGUAAAUAAAUUUGUUGUUGCAUUUCUCUUGCUACCA